UACGGGGGGGGCAAGCGUUGUUCGGAAUUACUGGGCGUAAAGGGCUCGUAGGCGGCCAACUAAGUCAGACGUGAAAUCCCUCGGCUUAACCGGGGAACUGCGUCUGAUACUGGAUGGCUUGAGUUUGGGAGAGGGAUGCGGAAUUCCAGGUGUAGCGGUGAAAAUGCGUAGAUAUCGAGAGGAACACCUGCGGCGAAGGCGGGUUGCUGGGCUGACACUGACGCUGAACUGCGAAAGCUAGGGGAGCGAACGGG
rnacentral:rRNA from 1 species